rnacentral:rRNA from 1 species
GGGGGAGCGAAUCUCAAAACCGGUCUCAGUUCGGAUCGCAGUCUGCAACUCGACUGCGUGAAGCUGGAAUCGCUAGUAAUCGCGCAUCAGCCAUGGCGCGGUGAAUACGUUCCCGGGCCUUGUACACACCGCCCGUCAAGCCAUGGAAGUCUGGGGGACCUGAAGACGGUAACCACAAGGAGCCGUUAAGGGUAAAACAGGUAACUAGGGCUAAGUCGUAACAAGGUACC